UUUGAACCGCAUUCAGCAGCUUUUGCAC
rnacentral:sRNA from 1 species